AUGGCGGCAAGAGCGAGAGCGGUGGCCGCCAUGUCCAGCAGCAGCAGCGUCCUCCUGGCUGCGGCGGUGGCACUGGCACUGCUGGUGGCGUCGGCGUCGGCGCAGUCCGGGUGCACCUCUGCGCUGAUCGGCCUGUACCCAUGCAUGAACUACAUCAGCGGCAGCGGCACGGCCCCGACCAAGUCUUGCUGCUCGCAGCUCGCCUCCGUGGUGCAGUCCCAGCUGCAGUGCCUUUGCAGCGCGCUCGGCGGUGACUCGUCGUCGCUCGGUGGCAUCACCAUCAACAAGACCCGCGCGCUCGAGCUCCCCAAUGCCUGCAACGUGCAGACCCCGCCGGCGAGCAAGUGCAACGGCGGUAAGUGUUCGACAGUAUACCAUUUUACGAGUUACAAGAGUCAAGAGCUGCACUGCAUGUAUAAUAAUGUUGUUAUCGCUUCUUGGGUUACUGACACGAGACGUCUUUUUUGCUUGCAGCUGGUGGUGGCAGUGCUCCUGGUGCCAGUGCCAACACGCCGACCACCCCGGCCGUAG
rnacentral:rRNA from 1 species